CAGCCGCCACGGUAAUACAGAGGGUGCAAGCGUUAAUCGGAAUUACUGGGCGUAAAGUGCGCGUAGGUGGUUUGUUAAGUUGGAUGUGAAAUCCCCGGGCUCAACCUGGGAACUGCAUCCAAAACUGGCAAGCUAGAGUAUGGUAGAGGGUGGUGGAAUUUCCUGUGUAGCGGUGAAAUGCGUAGAUAUAGGAAGGAACACCAGUGGCGAAGGCGACCACCUGGACUGAUACUGACACUGAGGUGCGAAAGCGUGGGGAGCAAACAGGAUUAGAUACCCCUGUAGUCCCUGUCUCUUAUAC
rnacentral:rRNA from 1 species